rnacentral:lncRNA from 1 species
CCGUUGAAUGUUGUUCUGGUUCUUUCUGAUUUUCCUCAACUUCAGUAACCACAGGUUCACCUUUUACUGUUUCUGUAGGCUCAACUUCAGUAGCCACAGGUUCUUCUUUUACCGUUUCUGUAGCUUGAACUUCAGUAGCCACAGGUUCUUCUUUUACCAUUUCUCUAGGAUCAACUUCAGUAACCACAGGUUUGACUUUUACUGAUUCUGUCAGAUCAACUUCAGUAACCAGGGGUUCUUUUACUGUUUUUGUAAUUUCAACUUCUGUAGCCACAGCUUCUUCUUUUACUGUCUCUGUAGGAUCAACUUCAGUAACUAUAGGUUCGUCUUUUACCGUUUCUGUUGCCUCGAAUUCAGUAGCUGCAGGUUCAUCUUUUACCAUUUCUGUAGGCUCAACUACAGUUGUCACAGGUUCUUCUUUUACGGUUUCUGUAGCUUCAACUUCAGUAGCCACAGAUUCUUCUUUUACUGUUUCUGUAGCUUCAACUUCAGUAGCCACUGGUUCUUCUUUUACUGUUUCUGUAGCUUCAACUUCAGUAGCCACUGGUUCUUCUUUUACUGUUUCUGUAGCUUCAACUUCAGUAGCUGCAGGUUCGUCUUUUACCGUUUCUGUAGCCUCAACUUCAGUUGCCACAGGUUCUUCUUUUACCGUUUCUGUAGGCUCAACUUCAGUAGCCACGGGUUCUUCUUUUACUGUUUCUGUAGCUUCAGCUUCAGUAGCUAGAGGUUCUUCUUUUACCGUUUCUGUAGGAUCAACUUCAGUAACCACAGGUUCGUCUUUUACGGUUUCUGUAACCUUAACUUCAGUAGCUGCAGGUUCUUCUUUUACUGUUUCCGUAGCCUCAACUUCAGUAGCCACAAGUUCUUCUUUUAGUGUUUCUGUAGCCUCAACUUCAGUAACCACGGGUUCUUCUUUUACUAUCUCUGCA